ACCGCAUACGUCCCGUUACGGGGUAAAGGACGGGGGAGUCUUCGGUACCUCGCGCUAUUGGUAGGUGGCCGAUGUCGGAUUAGCUAGUAGGUGAGGUAAAGGCUCACCUAGGCGACGAUCCGUAGCUGGUCUGAGAGGAUGAUCAGCCACACUGGGACUGAGACACGGCCCAGACUCCUACGGGAGGCAGCAGUGGGGAAUUUUGGACAAUGGGCGCAAGCCUGAUCCAGCCAUGCCGCGUGAGUGAAGAAGGCCUUCGGGUUGUAAAGCUCUUUCAGGUGGAAAGAAAUAGCGCUGUUUAAUAGAUGGCGUUGAUGACGGUACCACCAGAAGAAGCACCGGCUAACUACGUG
rnacentral:rRNA from 1 species